rnacentral:rRNA from 1 species
UACGGGGGGAGCAAGCGUUGUUCGGAUUUACUGGGCGUAAAGGGCGCGUAGGCGGUCGUGACAAGUCACUUGUGAAAUCUCCGGGCUUAACUCGGAACGGUCAAGUGAUACUGUCGGACUAGAGUACAGAAGGGGCAACUGGAAUUCUCGGGUGUAGCGGUGAAAUGCGUAGAUAUCGAGAGGAACACCUGCGGCGAAGGCGGGUUGCUGGGCUGACACUGACGCUGAGGCGCGAAAGCUAGGGUAGCAAACGGG